GAUGAACGCUGGCGGCGUGCCUAAUACAUGCAAGUCGAGCGAACAGACGAGGAGCUUGCUCCUCUGACGUUAGCGGCGGACGGGUGAGGAACACGUGGAUAACCUACCUAUAAGACUGGGAUAACUUCGGGAAACCGGAGCUAAUACCGGAUAAUAUAUUGAACCGCAUGGUUCAAUAGUGAAAGACGGUUUUGCUGUCACUUAUAGAUGGAUCCGCGCCGCAUUAGCUAGUUGGUAAGGUAACGGCUUACCAAGGCAACGAUGCGUAGCCGACCUGAGAGGGUGAUCGGCCACACUGGAACUGAGACACGGUCCAGACUCCUACGGGAGGCAGCAGUAGGGAAUCUUCCGCAAUGGGCGAAAGCCUGACGGAGCAACGCCGCGUGAGUGAUGAAGGUCUUCGGAUCGUAAAACUCUGUCAUUAGGGAAGAACAAAUGUGUAAGUAACUAUGCACGUCUUGACGGUACCUAAUCAGAAAGCCACGGCUAACUACGUG
rnacentral:rRNA from 1 species